AGCUAGCUGACGAGUCACAAAUAGAACGAAAUGCGUGCAUCUUGGAU
rnacentral:hammerhead_ribozyme from 1 species